GGGAGGAGGAGGUAGUGGAGACAGAAGGAGGAGGAGGUAGUAGAGACAGAGGGAGGAGGUAGUGGAGACAGAGGGAGGAGGAGGUAGUGGAGACAGGGAGGAGGAGAUAGUAGAGACAGAGAGAGGAGGAGGUAGUGGAGACAGAGGGAGGAGGUAGUGGAGACAGAGGGAGGAGGUAGUGGAGACAGUUGGAGGAGUAGGUAGUAGAGACAGAGGGAGGAGGAGGUGGUGGAGACAGAGGGAGGAGGAGGUGGUGGAGACAGAAGGAGGAGGAGGUAGUGGAGACAGAGGGAGUAGGAAGUGGAGACAGAGGGAGGAGGGAGUGGAGACAGAAGAGGAGGGAGUGGAGACAGAGGGGAGGAGGAGGUAGUGGAGACAGUGGGAGGAGGUAGUGGAGACAGAGGCAGGUGCGAGUGGAGACAGAGGGAGGAGGAGGUAGUGGAGACAGUGGGAGGAGGAGGUAGUGGAGUCAAUGGGAGGAGGAGGUAGUGGAGUCAGUGGGAGGAGGUAGUGGAGACAGAGGGAGGAGGAGGUAGUGGAGACAGGGAGGAGGAGGUAGUGGAGACAGGGAGGAGGAGGUAGUGGAGACAGAGGAGG
ensembl:lncRNA